rnacentral:lncRNA from 13 species
GGGAUGUGUCUGUGGGAGGGGGAAGGAAACCUGAGAGGGGAAAUAGGAAUCUGGGUGUCACAUGUAAAUUUGCUGUACUGGGAGUGGCCCUGGACACAGACGGGUGUAGGGAGCUGCCCGUUUCAGUCUUAAGAGCAAGAAGCCCCCUUCCCCUGCAUUUUAACUGUGUGGGCUUUGAAAAUGGGAGGGAACUGAAGGCAUCCCUGAGUCAUGAGUGUUCCUGGAGGGUCUUGACAUUGAGAUGAUGAGUGGGGAUGGGCCCGAAUGAGCUGUCUAGGGCUGCGAUGGUAGAACAGCAGACAUGGAUUCCCUCACAUUCUGGAGGCCACAAGUCUGAAACCCAGGUGUCACAGGGCUGCUUUCUUCCGCAGCCGCUCUCGGUGGCUGGUAGACGGCCUGUGUCCUCGGGUGGUCGUCCCUCUGUGCGUGCCUGCGCCUUCACCGCCUCUUCUUUUUCACCGUAGCCUGAGAGCCAGCUGGAUAAACUGCUAGGGACACAGGAUUCCCGAGUGACAGCGCAGGGCAGCAGUGCUGUCGCGGUGUCCUGUUCACAUCACACCGGGAGGGAGCCGCAGGUAAUUCUGCAGACUAAAGGAGGGAAGGAGCAGGCUCACCCUGUGGGUUUUCAAGACGUUAAUUUAAGUUAAUUUAAUCUUCGUUGUCUGUACUUGACAGAAACCAUAAGGCUUUAUCCAAAGUGGUAUCUUUUGUGGUGGGUGAAACAAUUAUCAGUCAUUGUUAAGAAACAGGGUCUUCUCCUUGGCCACUGAAAAACUCUGAAAUGUGAGGAGAAAUAUCAAGGUUGUGGAUGAUCUGAUAUCAUGAAUUUUCUCAGGAAAGAGAUGCCCAGAGGUGAAAGUGUAUUGGAGCUUCCAUCUCUGUGGCUUUUUUUAAAUUAAAUUGUACUUUAGGUUCUGGGGUACAUGUGCAGAGCAUGCAGGGCUGUUGCAUAGGUACAGACAUGGCAAUGUGGUUUGCUGCGUCCAUCCCCCUGUCUCUUAUAUCUGUCAUUUCUCCCCAUGUUAUCCCUCCCAAACUCCCCACACCCCGCUGUCCCUCCCCUAGCCCCCCCCACAGACCCCAGUGUGUGAUGCUCCCUCCCUGUGUCCACGUAUUCUCACUGUUCAUCACCCGCCUAUGAGUGAGAACAUGCGCUGUUUGAUUUUCUGUCCUUGUGUCAGUUUCGCUUUUGUUAAGGUUUGGUUCCAAAUAGUGGUGUCUCC